GAUGAACGCUGGCGGCGUGCCUAACACAUGCAAGUCGAGCGAUUCUCUUCGGAGAAGAGCGGUGGACGGGUGAGUAACGCGUGGGUAACCUGCCCUGUACACACGGAUAACAUACCGAAAGGUAUGCUAAUACGGGAUAAUAUGCUUUAGUCGCAUGGCUGAAGUAUCAAAGCUCCGGCGGUACAGGAUGGACCCGCGUCUGAUUAGCUAGUUGGUAAGGUAACGGCUUACCAAGGCGACGAUCAGUAGCCGACCUGAGAGGGUGAUCGGCCACAUUGGAACUGAGACACGGUCCAAACUCCUACGGGAGGCAGCAGUGGGGAAUAUUGCACAAUGGGCGAAAGCCUGAUGCAGCAACGCCGCGUGAGCGAUGAUGGCCUUCGGGUCGUAAAGCUCUGUCCUCAAGGAAGAUAAUGACGGUACUUGAGGAGGAAGCCCCGGCUAACUACGUGCCAGCCGCCGCCGUAA
rnacentral:rRNA from 1 species